rnacentral:rRNA from 1 species
UUAAGUAAGAAUUUAAUUUUGGUUCUGAUUGAACGUUUUUCAGUAGUUUUUGAGACAUGCGAAUCGUUGUUAACCUAAUAAUUAUUAAGGUUUAUUCUUUAGUUUAAGAAAAACUUAUACUAAUAAUAAACCGUAAAUUAAUAAUGGCUAAGUUAAUAAGGUGUAAAGGUGAGGAUAGUAAAUAAGAUACCCUAGAGUCCCCGUAAAUAGGAGAUAUUUUUUAUUGUAAAAAUAAGAAAAUAAGUAAGCUAUAUUUAUUAAAAAAAGGAAUAAUUCUGCUUUAGGAUUCUAUUUAUUUCGAUUAGGUAGUUGGUGGGGUAAAGGCCUACCAAGCCGACGAUCGAUAGCCAAGCUUGACAGAGCAAAUGGCCACAUCGGGAAUGAAAUCUCCCAAGUAGUAGUUACUACCAGCAGUCGAGAAUAUUAGUCAAUGCUCGCAAGAGUGAACUAGCUAACUGAAAUCAUACUUGUGUCAAGUGUGAUAACGUAAGGGAAGAUAAUGACAUUACCUUACUAUUAGUGUUGUCCAAAUCUGGUGCCAGAAGACUCGGUAAGGCCAGAGACGCAAACGUUAGUCGUCCUAAUCAGGCGUAAAGGGUGUGUAGGCAGCUUUAAACUUUAUUCUUUUUCUAAAUCCUUAAUUUAAAGUUUCAAUCACUAACGUGAUGCCUAUUAGGCAAUAGAUUGAGGGUGAAGAAAUAUAGACUAAUAUUUUUUAUUACCUAAAUUAUAAAAAAAUUAAGAAAAGAAUGAACUAAUAAAAGCUAGAAUCAAAUAGAGGAUAUAUUAAAUAAUAUUUAGAGGAGGGGCGAUAUCCUUAGAUACUAAAUGGAAUAUUAAGGGUGAAAGCUUUUUAUCUACUAAUGAUUGACGCUGAGAAACGAAGGUGAGUAUAGGAAAUAGGAUUAGAUACCCAGAUACCACUCUCUGUCAACGAUGAAUGGUGGUUGCCAGUUGUAAAAAAAUUGGUGGCUAUGUUAACACGAUAACCAUUCCGCCAUGUGAGUACGACUGCAAAGUUGAAAACAAAAAAAUUAGUCGGUCUCGAAGCAAACGAAGUGAAGCAUGUUAUUUAAUACGAUAAUCCGCGUAAAACCUUACCAGUUCUUGCAUAACAAGUUUUUAUUUAUUUAUUUAAUUAAAAAUGAAGUGUUUUUCUAAAAUGCUUCUGUUACAGGUGUUGCAUGGCUGUCGUCAGUCCGUAUUGUGAGAAGUGAGGUUAACUCCGCUAACGGACGAAAUCCUUGUUGUUAAUUUAUACUUAACAAUUAAUGAUACUGAUAGAGUAUCAUUUGGGGCUAAGACAAGUCGUUAUGGCCCUCAUGAACUGGGCUAUAGACGUGCCACAAAAACUUUUACAAAGUGAUGCGAAACCGUUCCUUUAAAUUUAAUAUGGCUAUUUGCGUAAGUAAAUAAGUAUAUUAUUAUUUUAUUUUUAAAAUAGGGAAAUAAGGAAGAGCUAAUCAUUAAAGAAAGUUAAUAUUUAGUCGGAUUGUCGUCUGCAAUUCGGCGACAUGAAGAAGGAAUUUCGAGUAAUCGUUGAUCACUAAGCGCAACGGUGAAGAUUGCAUUCGUGAUGAACUAACUGUCUGUCGCUGGGAAGGAGCUUAACUUGGAGGAAACUGGAGCGAAAUUAAAACUUUUAUAAAGGUCUCUUAAAGUUCUUUAUAUCUCUCCCUAUCAAGAUAGGGAAAUAGAACACCUUUGUUAAGAUAAUUAGCUUUAGUUAAUUCAUUUAAGUAACAUCUCAAAAGUCAUAGCAAGGUAGCCGUACUGGAAAGUGCUGCUGGAAAAUAAAUUAU